rnacentral:rRNA from 1 species
AACGAACGCUGGCGGCAUGCCUAACACAUGCAAGUCGAACGAGACCUUCGGGUCUAGUGGCGCACGGGUGCGUAACGCGUGGGAACCUGCCCUUAGGUUCGGAAUAACUCCCCGAAAGGGGUGCUAAUACCGGAUAAUGUCUUCGGACCUAAGAUUUAUCGCCUUUGGAUGGGCCCGCGUUGGGUUAGCUAGUUGGUAGGGUAAAAGCCUACCAAGGCGACGAUCCAUAGCUGGUCUGAGAGGAUGAUCAGCCACACUGGGACUGAGACACGGCCCAGACUCCAACGGGAGGCAGCAGUGGGGAAUAUUGGACAAUGGGCGAAAGCCUGAGCCAGCAAUGCCGCGUGAGCGAUGAAGGCCUUAGGGUUGGAAAGCUCUUUUACCCGGGAUGAUAAUGACAGUACCGGGAGAAUAAGCUCCGGCUAACUCCGUG